rnacentral:rRNA from 1 species
GACGAACGCUGGCGGCGUGCCUAACACAUGCAAGUCGAGCGGAGAUUGCAGCAAUGUAAUUUUAGCGGCGGACGGGUGAGUAACGCGUGGGCAACCUGCCUUUCACAGGGGGAUAACACAGGGAAACUUGUGCUAAUACCGCAUAAAGUCACGGUAAGACAUCUUACUAUGACCAAAGGAGAAAUCCGGUGAGAGAUGGGCCCGCGUCCGAUUAGCUAGUUGGUGAUGUAACGGACCACCAAGGCGACGAUCGGUAGCCGAACUGAGAGGUUGAUCGGCCACAUUGGGACUGAGACACGGCCCAGACUCCUACGGGAGGCAGCAGUGGGGAAUAUUGCGCAAUGGGGGAAACCCUGACGCAGCAACGCCGCGUGAAGGAUGAAGGUUUUCGGAUCGUAAACUUCUUUGAUUGGGGACGAACAAAGACGGUACCCAAAAAACAAGCCACGGCUAACUACGUG